UCCAGCCCCAACUCAUCCACACACCAACAUGGCUCACAUGUCCUUGCCUUCCACCGAAACCCCUAAGUCAGAACUGUCUUAAAUGCUUAUCCUAAUGGAAGGAGCCUGGCCCCGUCUAGCUAAGAGAAAGGGCUGAGGAACUGAAUAGAAAAAUGCUCCCUCAACAGCAUACCCCUGCUCUAAGUGUCACCGGGAAGUCACAUCAAAUGCUCUGAAGGUGCCGGAUAUAUUUUUCCAAUUGCUUUUUAGCUUUGUAAUUACAAGGAUCUAAAAACCUU